rnacentral:pre_miRNA from 1 species
GUAGUACUCCCUCUGAACCAUAUUACUUGUCGAAAUAUAAUGUGUAUCUAGACACUUUUUAAACACAGAUACAUCCAUAUUUGGGCAAAUUUGAGACAAGUAAUAUGGAUCGGAGGGAGUAUUUG